GCAAGGAUAGCUCAGUUGGUAGAGCACCAGUAUAAAAAAUGCGUAACGUUCCCCUAUGUAAAAAGGGAACUGAUUGUCGUGGGUUCGAGUCCCACUCCUUGCA
rnacentral:tRNA from 1 species